AUUGAACGCUGGCGGCAGGCCUAACACAUGCAAGUCGAGCGAGCGGCGGACGGGGGAGGAAUGUAUGGGGACUGCCCGUUAGAGGGGGAUAACUACUGGAAAAGGUGGCUAAUACUGCAUUCAGUCGGAUAACCCAUAUGGGAUGAGCUAGUUGGUAAGGUAAUGGCUUACUUAGGCGACGAUCCCUAGCUGGUCUGAGAGGAUGAUCGGCCACACUGGGACUGAGGCACGGCCCAGACUCCUACGGAGGCAGCAGUGGGGAAUAUUGCACAAUGGGCGAAAGCCUGACACAGCAAUGCGGCGUGGAUGAAGAAGGCCCUCGGGUUGUAAAGUACUUUCAGUCGGGAGGCGUUACCGAAACAAGAAGCACCGGCUAACUCCGUGCCAGCAGCCGCGGUAAUAC
rnacentral:rRNA from 1 species